GAUGAACGCUGGCGGCGUGCCUAAUACAUGCAAGUCGAGCGAACAGACGAGGAGCUUGCUCCUUUGACGUUAGCGGCGGACGGGUGAGUAACACGUGGGUAACCUACCUAUAAGACUGGGAUAAAUUCGGGAAACCGGAGCUAAUACCGGAUAAUAUUUCGAACCGCAUGGUUCGAUAGUGAAAGAUGGCUUUGCUAUCACUUAUAGAUGGACCUGCGCCGUAUUAGCUAGUUGGUAAGGUAACGGCUUACCAAGGCAACGAUACGUAGCCGACCUGAGAGGGUGAUCGGCCACACUGGAACUGAGACACGGUCCAGACUCCUACGGGAGGCAGCAGUAGGGAAUCUUCCGCAAUGGGCGAAAGCCUGACGGAGCAACGCCGCGUGAGUGAUGAAGGUCUUCGGAUCGUAAAACUCUGUUAUUAGGGAAGAACAAACGUGUAAGUAACUGUGCACGUCUUGACGGUACCUAAUCAGAAAGCCACGGCUAACUACGUG
rnacentral:rRNA from 1 species